CGAGGUGUAGCUCAGUUUGGUAGAGUGCUUGGUUUGGAACCAAGAUGCCGCAGGUUUUAGCUCUGUCACCUCGACCA
rnacentral:tRNA from 1 species